rnacentral:rRNA from 1 species
CCCCUUAUGACCUGGGCUACACACGUGCUACAAUGGUUGGUACAACGAGUUGCGAGUCGGUGACGGCGAGCUAAUCUCUUAAAGCCAAUCUCAGUUCGGAUUGUAGGCUGCAACUCGCCUACAUGAAGUCGGAAUCGCUAGUAAUCGCGGAUCAGCACGCCCGCGGUUCCGAAUACGUUCCGGCCUU